AACGAACGCUGGCGGCAGGCUUAACACAUGCAAGUCGAACGCAUCCUUCGGGGUGAGUGGCAGACGGGUGAGUAACGCGUGGGAACGUGCCCUUCAGUUCGGGAUAACCCAGGGAAACUUGGGCUAAUACCGGCUACGUGCGGGAGCAGAAAGAUUUAUCGCUGAAGGAUCGGCCCGCGUAUGAGUAGCCAGUUGGUGGGGUAAGGGCCCACCAAGGCGACGAUCAGUAGCUGGUCUGAGGGGAUGAUCAGCCACAUUGGGACUGAGACACGGCCCAAACUCCUACGGGAGGCAGCAGUGGGGAAUAUUGGACAAUGGGCGCAAGCCUGAUCCAGCCAUGCCGCGUGAGUGAUGAAGGCCUUAGGGUUGUAAAGCUCUUUCGUCCGGGACGAUAAUGACGGUACCGGAAGAAGAAGCCCCGGCUAACUUCGUGCCAGCAGCCGCCGUAA
rnacentral:rRNA from 1 species